rnacentral:lncRNA from 10 species
GGGGACUCGAACUGGUGCAGAUGGAGUCAACCCCAGGACAUUGGCGUGAGUGUUGGGAAAGAUGUGUCCUCCUUCUGCUUGGGUGACCGCAAUGGGAGGCCUUCCCUGCCACCUCCAGGAAAACAUCAGGCCGGAGUGAAGCUCACAGAGAGGCAAGAAUUAAACCUCCAACUGGGAAGAUUUAUGGGCACAGCAAACAGCAUGUCCCCAACUGAGCUCCGAUAUUCCCCACUCUGAACCUGCUCCCCUGCAAGCAUCCCCAUCUGAGUUGACGGCAAGUGUCCAAGAUGUUGGACAAAAAGGGUCUUAACCAAGACUGUAAGGAUAAGUUGAGAGCUAAGAUGGUGAUAAGUGGAAAACAUUAUCUGCAAGAUCUGAUUAAAACAAUCUGGCAAAGCAGGGACUCAGAGAACCAGAACAAGGUGGGUGGGGAGGCCUGAAGUACAGUGUGGAGGAGGGGCUGGGGAUAUGGUUUGGCUCUGUGUCCCCACCCAAAUCUCACAUGUCAUGGGAGGGACCCAGUGGGAGGUAACUGAAUCAUGGGGAUGUGUCUUUUCCAUGCUGUUUUAGUGACAGUGAAUACGUCUCACGAGAUCUGAUGGUUUUGUAAAGGGGAGUUCCCCUGCACAUGCCCUCUUGCCUGCUGCCAUGUAAGAUGUGACUUUGUUCCUCAUUUGCCUUCCGCCAUGAUUGUCAGGCCUCCCCAGCCAUGUGAAACUGUGAGUCCAUUAAACCUCUUUCCUUUAUAAAUUACCCAGUCUCGGGUGUGUCUUUAUUAGCAGCGUGAGAACACACCGAUACAGCUGGGAUCUCAGACAUGGUGGGGUGGGGAUGGGGAGCAUCACUCUAGACCAGGCAGCCCAUUUUCCAGAAAGGUCUGGGAAGAAGAGACCUGACCUGGCCUUGGGGUGCAGAAGUGGUGGCCACUGGUGGACACAGAGCUGCUCACUGCAAAUCCUGUCAUUUGAUUCAUCUUCCUGAAAAGACUACGACCUUGUGCAGGAUGUUGCGUUAAAGUCAUUCCUCACCUCCUGCAUUUCCACCUCUGCCUCUGUGGGUCGCGAGCCACUUCACUUCCAUUCUCCUGUCUGCAAAAUAGGUUGAAGUCUGCCAAGCAGGCUGGGAAAAGCAUCAUGGUGUCUCAGGAUGGGGCCCCCAGUCCCCAGUGCUCCAGAAGAAGUCAAUGUUAUUAUUCUGGGGCAGUCAUAUCCUGAUCAUUAAUUUAUGAUAAUGUUAGAAACAACAACAAUUAUAAUAAUG